UACGUAGGGGGCAAGCGUUGUCCGGAUUUAUUGGGCGUAAAGAGCGUGUAGGCGGCCAGGUAGGUCCGUUGUGAAAACUCGAGGCUCAACCUCGAGACGUCGGCGGAAACCCUCUGGCUAGAGUCCGGAAGAGGAGAGUGGAAUUCCUGGUGUAGCGGUGAAAUGCGCAGAUAUCAGGAAGAACACCCGUGGCGAAGGCGGCUCUCUGGGACGGUACUGACGCUGAGAUGCGAAAGCGUGGGGAGCAAACAGG
rnacentral:rRNA from 1 species